ensembl:snoRNA small nucleolar RNA SNORD53/SNORD92
GAGGGAUGAUGAUGCUGAGAAUGGUUUCGCUAUGUGAACUGAGAACAUGUGAUGUCACAUUUUCUCUUGGCUGUCUGACCAA